rnacentral:lncRNA from 1 species
UUUUAUUUUUACUAUUUUUAAAAAAGAGAACUUGCACUAUCUCUUCAUAUCUUUCCAAUUUGCUCUUUUUUUUCUUUGAAUGCUUAUCUGUUUUCACUGUUACCAAACUGCUUUAAGUAGAUUUAAUUAAUGAAAGUGAGGUGUUGACAAACUCUAAAGACAUUCUGAUAAAACAUUUUUUAAAGUUGCUUUAAAGCUUUGCUAAAGUUUGUUCAAAUAAAGACAGACACUUAGAACCUGAAUUUCUGUGCUACUAGUAUAGCCAGUAGAAGCAGACUGCUUGAAGAACAUUAUCUGUACUUUCCACAGAGAACUGCACUUAUAGGUAGUGCUAAUGGUAAUAAUUAUGUUAAGUAGGAAGGAAAAGAAUUGAAAGGGGAAUUAGAGGUUCCUCUCACGUAUGUGAAAGUAUCUUCCAGAACACUGAUUAUAACACAGAUGUGUUUGGAAUGCAAAGUACUGGGGGCAGGAACAUACACAGUGCUGGACCACAGGAUUCAACAGAUGAGAAAAGGACCCAUUUGUUACGUUAUGUUAUGCUCAGCUCUUGCGGAAGAGGUGGUGCACAAAUGUCAGGGACCCAGGCAACUUGGUCUGAUUUCAGAGGGAAGCUCUCGUGCUGCACUGAAAAUUGAUGGACUACUUGAUGGCUGGCUGGCAAACUGCACACUCCUGGUGUGUGAUGUGUCAGUUCUAUCACGUCUUUUCAGCAAGUGCUUAGAAAGGAGGGACCCGGACAGUCUUCCCUGCUCAGGUCAGGUGGGUAACUGUUGUGUACCAUGAAAGGGUGAGUCAGAAUUCAAUGCAGAGGACACACAACCAGAUACUGGAAUCUUAUUUUCAUGGCCAAAGGCAUUUUGCAAGAUGUGGGGCCAUCAUUUAAGAUGAAGGCUUGCUUUGGCUGUUCUUCUUCAUGGAUGUCCUAGUUCCAGGAAGUCUGCACUUUUGCCUGGCCACAGUCACAUAAAAGCUGUAUUCCUUACUGAGGACCUUCAGGAGAGGAGACUUCCUGCUGCUCUUUGCCUGUCUGCAAUUUAUGCUGUCAUGCGGAAAGUCUGGAACUUGAGGUGUGUGCAUUUUAAGCAAUCCCACAGCUGGCCUUUACUAUUCUGAGGAGGGUCUGCUCCCCAGCUAUGUCCACCCAUGCCCCCAGGUUUGUCAUCGCUGUUAGUGCAAGUGUUCCUUUCCUCCUCCUGUCUCAGCUCCUGUGCAACAGCUGGUUUUGAUAGCUCCCCUGCUCGUAUUUAAUUGACAAAAUCCUACCUUAUUGUCCGCCGCACCCUUCAUUCUUCUGUUAUUUUGGUGCAUUUAAUGUGAUGUAGGGAAAAGAGGACUUCCAGUUACUUAGUUCAGAUUUUACACAGAAAUGUGUCUGCUAUGUUACUUUUCUUAACCCCCAUGUCUAUCACUUGCUGGUGUAUCUAGCUCAGGCACAUCACCUACCUAUCUGAACUUGUUCUUCUGUCUGUUUACAUUAUGAGUUGUUAUUAUACCUCUGGAUGAACUAGAAGGAGGGUGCAGAAGCCUUUUGCAGACUUUGAUUCUUUUGUUUAUAGUCCAGAAGAAACUGAAGCAAUGAAAAAUAUAAUAAAGUUACAUUUCUGAUUUUUAGUUCA